rnacentral:misc_RNA from 1 species
AACCUAGCACACCUGCGGUGUGUACCUGCGGAGGGAUCAUUACCUAGAGUUGUAGGCUUUGCCUGCUAUCUCUUACCCAUGUCUUUUGAGUACCUUACGUUUCCUCGGUGGGUUCGCCCGCCGGUUGGACAAAACUUAAACCCUUUGUAGUUGCAAUCAGCGUCUGAAAAAACUUAAUAGUUACAACUUUUAGCAAUGGAUCU